rnacentral:rRNA from 1 species
AUGGCAGCGCAGGUGGCGGUGGCGAACGGCGGCGGCGCGGGUCCGGCGGCGGCGGCCGCGGUGGCGGUGGUCCCCGCGCCCGCGCCCGCGCCCGGAGGGGUCACGCAGCCGCUCCCGACCACGUCGCUCUACGUCGGCGACCUCGAGGCCAACGUCACCGACUCGCAGCUCUACGAGCUCUUCAGCCAGGCCGGCCAGGUCGUCUCCGUCCGCGUCUGCAGGGACGUCACCUCGCGCCGCUCCCUCGGCUACGCCUACGUCAACUACAGCAGCCCCAUGGAUGCUGCAAGAGCAAUGGAAGCGCUGAACUUUGCUCCACUGAACAACAAGCCCAUUCGAGUUAUGUACUCGAACCGUGACCCAAGCAGCCGCAGAAGCGGGUCUGCAAAUAUCUUUAUCAAGAACCUUGACAAGACAAUUGACAACAAAACUCUUCAUGACACCUUCUCUGCAUUUGGUGCAAUUCUCUCAUGUAAGGUUGCCAUGGAUGAUAUUGGCCAAUCCAAAGGCUUUGGAUUUGUUCAGUAUGAGAAAGAAGAGUCUGCACAGUCUGCAAUGAAAAGCCUAAAUGGCAUGCUUAUCAACGAUAAGCCUGUCUAUGUUGGACCUUUUCUCCGCAAGCAAGAGAGAGAUAAUUCUUUUGACAAGGCAAAAUUUAACAAUGUCUUUGUGAAGAAUUUAUCUGAGUCUACUACAAAAGAUGAUCUAGUCAAAGUAUUCAGUGAGUAUGGAACUAUUACGAGUGCUGUUGUAAUGAUUGGCAUGGAUGGUAAAUCAAGGUGCUUCGGCUUCGUCAAUUUUGAGAGCCCAGAUGAUGCUGCUCGUGCUGUUGAGGAACUUAAUGGAAAGAAAAUCAAUGACAAAGAGUGGUAUGUUGGUAGAGCUCAGAAGAAGUCUGAAAGGGAGAUGGACUUGAAGAGAAGGUUUGAGCAAAGCAUGAAAGAUGCAGCUGAUAAAUAUCAAGGACAGAACUUGUACUUGAAGAAUUUGGAUGAUGGCAUUACAGAUGAUCAGCUACGUGAGCUGUUCUCCAACUUUGGCAAAAUUACCUCUUGCAAGAUAAUGCGUGAUCAAAAUGGUGUUAGCAAGGGCUCUGGCUUUGUUUCAUUUUCUACCCGCGAGGAAGCAUCUCAGGCUCUCACUGAAAUGAAUGGCAAAAUGAUAUCUGGAAAGCCAUUAUAUGUUGCAUUUGCACAGCGUAAAGAAGAUAGAAAAGCAAUGUUACAGGCUCAAUUCUCUCAGAUGCGCCCUGUACCAAUGACCCCUUCUAUGACUCCUCGACUCCCAAUGUACCCUCCUAUGCCUACUCUUGGGCAGCAACUCUUCUAUGGGCAAGCUCCACCUGCUAUGAUUCCCCCUCAGCCUGGGUACGGUUUCCAGCAACAGCUUGUUCCAGGAAUGAGGCCUGGGGGUGGUGCCCAUAUGCCAAAUUACUUUGUUCCAGUUGUCCAACCAGGUCAGCAGGGUCCGCGCCCAGGUAUAAGGCGCAAUGGUCCUGGGUCUGCUCAGGGACAGCAAACUCCUCAGCCAUUUCAGCAACAGAUGGUUCCUAGGGGACGUGUCUACCGGUACCCACCUGGACCUCGUCACAUGCCUGAGGUUCAACAGAUGCCUGGGGUUGGUGUUGGUAUGGUUCAGCCAUAUGAUAUGGGAAGCUUCCCUGUGCGAGAUGCUGGCGUGUCACCUGCUCCUCCAAUUGGAACUCUCACAUCUGCCCUUGCAAAUGCUACUCCAGAGCAACAAAGAACGAUACUUGGCGAAAGCCUCUAUCCACUUGUUGAGAAGCUUGAACACCAACAAGCUGCCAAGGUGACCGGCAUGCUUCUGGAGAUGGACCAGACGGAGGUGCUGCAUCUGCUCGAGUCUCCAGAGGCUCUCAAGUCCAAGGUUGCCGAGGCGAUGGAUGUUCUCCGCAACGUGGCCCAGCAGCAGAACCCCAACGCCCCUACCAGCCAGCUCGCCGGGCUAACCUUGAGCGACGGCAUUAUCUCUUAG